GACGAACGCUGGCGGCGUGCCUAAUACAUGCAAGUCGAGCGCAGGAAACUGACGGAACUCUUCGGAGGGAAGGCAGCGGAAUGAGCGGCGGACGGGUGAGUAACACGUAAGGAACCUGCCUCAAGGAUUGGGAUAACUCCGAGAAAUCGGAGCUAAUACCGGAUAGUUCAACGGACCGCAUGGUCCGUUGAUGAAAGGCGCUCCGGCGUCACCUUGAGAUGGCCUUGCGGUGCAUUAGCUAGUUGGUGGGGUAACGGCCCACCAAGGCGACGAUGCAUAGCCGACCUGGGAGGGUGAUCGGCCACACUGGGACUGAGAAACGGCCCAGACUCCUACGGGAGGCAGCGGUAGGGAAUCUUCCACAAUGGACGAAAGUCUGAUGGAGCAACGCCGCGUGAGUGAUGAAGGUUUUCGGAUCGUAAAACUCUGUUGUAAGGGAAGAACACGUACGAGAGGAAAUGCUCGUACCUUGACGGUACCUUACGAGAAAGCCACGGCUAACUACGUGCCAGCCGCCGCCGUAAUAC
rnacentral:rRNA from 1 species